rnacentral:rRNA from 1 species
CAGUCGCCGCGGUAAUGCGUAGGGUGCGAGCGUUAAUCGGAAUUACUGGGCGUAAAGCGUGCGCAGGUGGUUAUGCAAGACAGAUGUGAAAUCCCCGGGCUCAACCUGGGAAUGGCAAUGGAUACUGGCGAGCUAGAGUGUGUCAGAGGAUGGUGGAAUUCCCGGUGUAGCGGUGAAAUGCGUAGAGAUCGGGAGGAACAUCAGUGGCGAAGGCGGCCAUCUGGGACAACACUGACGCUCAGGUGCGAAAGCGUGGGGAGCAAACAGGAUUAGAUACCCCUGUAGUCCCUGUCUCUUAUAC